AGAAGGAGGAGAGCAGAGAAAAGCAGGUGAAUAUUUGUAUCCUUAAGAGGCAGGUAAUAUAGCUGGUAAAGUUCUUGUCUAAUUUCUGAUGUUGGCCCAGUGGAGUUCUCCAAGGGGAAAGCAGCAACAAAGGAUAAGGAGGGAUCCUUGAGGGGUGAAUUUAGUCCUAUUCCAGUGCUGGCUAGUGGCACAAGCUACCAGCAUGACUCCAGGGCAGAUACUGAAUUUCCUCCAACCAUUGUUCCCUGUUUGUUAAAGAAGAGAUCUUUUCAGGUAUAAUACUUAUUUCCAGCUACCUAAAGGCCAAGCAGGUAAUAUAAAUGAGUGAAGUCAGCUGCAAAUUAAGCAGAAGCAUGAGCUGCUGAGCUCACGCCCCUUCUGACAAGAGUCAGAUGUUUCUUCUUGAAAGUGCACCAAACAAACGAAGUGAAUCUGCAGCUACGUUAAACCCAGGAUGGACUAUCCCUAGUUAUCCUUCCAGUUCAUAGCCAUAACUUCUAAUUUUGGGUUCAUUUGUCACUGGGGAUCAACGUCUUUGUUGCCUGCUGGUAUUGGACCAGAAUCAGGAAGAGAUUAAGCAAACUCAAUAGAAGAGGUAUUAAACUUGUUUGUUUAUAAGAACAAUGGCCCCCCUAAGCAACAAGUAAGAAUUUGGUGAUUAGAUGCCAAGGUCAAGGAAGAAACACAAUUAACUAAAUCCUAUCAUUGAAUAGAAUCCAUGUACAUUCUGCAGCCAGAAGAAAGAGGAAACAAAUCUCGAGAAUAUCUGGUCCUGUUUCAGUUUUGCUUAGAAAUGGCAACCCUAGUCUUAAGGACAAAGUUGAUCAACUGAGCUUCCAGGCUUCCCUACAAUAAAGGAGAUCAAAGUAGAUAGGGAACACAGUCAUCAGGCCCAGAUGUUUUGAAUUAGUCAGGAGGACUUGGUUUUACCCGUGCUGUUAAGUAUGGCAAUCAUGAACUGAUUACCUUUACUGACAUUUUAAGAGCAGCUGGUCUGAACACAAAUGAAGAAUUGGAGUUUACACCUUUCAGAGCCAUUUCUAUGAAUACUUCCUUCCUAAUGAUGCGUUUCUUCACAAAGCUUCAGAGUUGUUAGAGCUCUUUAUAGAGCCAGCUCCAAAAGUGGCCCCAGAGAUAAAUGGGCAGCUACUAUUACAAAGCCCGGUAAACACUAGAGAUGUCAGAGUGAAGUGGCUUUAUUAAGACACUUGUUUCUGCUUAGGUUCUAAAUUGUUUAUAAGAGGAAGGAAAAGUAACAAUUUAAAGCCAGAAACUUUACUGCCUCAUUUUUGCAUGCUAGGGGAAGUAGAAUCUCUCACAGGGGAGACAGCUUCUUAUUCAGGAUUUUACCUUGCUGGGACACUAAAUGGGAAAUGUGACCUGCUCCUUCCUUCGCCAGGCUUUAUGUUUCCACAGGAGAAACAGAAAGGAAGCUGGAUCAGUGAUCUGAACAUAAGAGGAGUAAAAUGUGGGAAUGAGGGCCUGGGAAAAGACAACGAGGAAAGUCAGAGGAGAGGCUUUGGAGAAGAGACAGCAGAGACAGCAGCUGCUCAUGGCUGGUGGUGGGAGAGCCAUUGGCCACUCUUAUGCUUGUCCCUGCUUCUGUUCACCACAGCCGUAGGGCUACUAGGAGGAAUUCGGGACAAGUACAAAGAAGGCAAGCUUGCUUUCUACAUGUCACGCCCUACUGUCAUGGAGGUAUGGACAAAGUACAGUGGAAACAUCAAGAACCAACCAAUCAGCCCUGGCACGGGGAGUCUGGAGGUCACCAAGAAGGGGAUAGAUGGGAAGGUGCUUACCAACUGGAGCAGGAACAGCAGGCUGAGCAUUCUGUGAGGAUACAGCCUAUGCAAGCCACUCAGGUUUGAAAGGACCUGAGCAGUUUAGAGAAAAGUCAAAUUUUGAUGGCUUUUUUUGUUCAAGCUAAACUUUUUUCUUUACUGCUUAAAAAAAAUAAGCAACAAAAAAAUGAAUAUGAAGAGGACAGGGCAUAAACAGAUUUUUGUCAUAAUAAGGCUUGAGGUGUGCCUUCCAACCACUUAUCUAUUCAAUAAAUGUCCACCAAGCUCUUAGAUGCCAGGACUAUGCUAGGCAGGGAGAAUUUAGUGAUCAACCAACAGAAUGGAUCUUAUUGUCAGGGCACUUACAGCUUGGCUAGGAGAUUGAUGUGAAAAAAUCAUCACAAUAAGCAAAGUUUAACUAUAAGUGGUGGAAAAUUCUAUGUAGGAAAGUCAAGCAUUAGUGUGACAGAAUUUAAAGGGAGACCUCACUUUGACUAGGGUUGGGUCAGAGUCAGGUCAGUAGGGCUUCCAGGUGAAACUCGAUGGAUGAUUAAGUACUAACCAAGCUGAGAGGGUUGUCAGGGCUGUGGAGCUUAGGAACUAGAAGGUUACCAAUCAAUUAGUAAGCGAUUCUAAUGGGCCAUGCAGAUUGCUGAUAGCCCAGCUACAAAAAUUCAAGGCUUGGUCUGUGUUAGCCACCGAUGCUACCUCUAGCUCUGACAUUUGAUAGCAAGAAUCUGCUAUAGCUAGGACAUUGUACUAGGUGCUGACUAGAAAAGUAAUAAACAUAUGUAAGAUAUAGCUCCUCAACAGAGUGAUAGUCCAACAAAUUGGACAUUUGAUGGAGGUUUACAGCUUAGCUACAUAUAUAUUAUGUUUAUAGGGCCUUAAAAAGAUUCCUAUAAAAGAGCAGAGAGACGCUGUUAAGGUCCCUUGCUUGCUUGCUUUUGGUGUCUUCUACUUGCCAUGAACUUCUCCUCUGUGAUGCCCCUCUGCUAAGGCACCCUGCCUUGGAGCCAGCUGAUUAUGGACUGAAACCUCCACAAACUGUGAGCUAAAUCUUACCCCCUUUAAAAAAAACAGAUUCUUAUAACACUUUUCAUUAUUUGUUGUUGAAAUUAUAGAAUGAUCUAUCACUCCCAGAACCCAACUUCUGCUUCCUAAGUUUCUUCUUUUGGAUCAACUCUUAUUUAAAGCUAAAUAGUCACAAAAGGAAAGAAGGGAAAAGAAUAAAUAUGAGAAAAGAAAAAAUGGAAACAAAGUCUUUGUAAAUGGGGGGGGGGGUGAACAGGUUGAAGGGUGGGAAGGGGAAUGGGGAAAAAAUAAGAACCAAGAUAUAUUAUGUAAAGGUAUAAAUUCCCAACAAUGAAUGUCAGCAUAUUGUAUACCUAAAAUGUAC
ensembl:lncRNA